CCCUUAGAUGUCCUGGGCCGCACGCGCGCUACACUGACGGAGCCAGCGAGCUUACCCCUUUGCCGAAAGGCAUGGGAAAUCUUUUGAAUCUCCGUCGUGCUGGGGAUAGAUCAUUGCAAUUAUUGAUCUUGAACGAGGAAUUCCUAGUAAGCGCAAGUCAUCAACUUGCGUUGAUUACGUCCCUGCCCUUUGUACACACCGCCCGUCGCUACUGCCGAUUGAACGGUUUAGUGAGGGCCUCGGAUUGGUCUCGGCCCGCUCUUUACCGGGCGGCGCCGUUGGUCGAGAAGGCGCUCGAACUUGAUCGUUUAGAGGAAGUAAAAGUCGUAACA
rnacentral:rRNA from 1 species